rfam:Lachnospiraceae bacterium A4 genomic scaffold acPFC-supercont1.1, whole genome shotgun sequence.
GCGUGGGUAACUACGAAUCUGAAAGAAGCUGGAUGUGAGGAACAGAUUAACGCACGGGCAAAUCUCUGGUCUGAGGAACAGAAAUCUCAUGCGAGGUUAUGCAUGAGGGUAAGGUUGCAUAACAAACUAAAGCCCAAUAACGACACGGAAUCAUGCAUGAUAAAUGAGACAGAUGGAUGGAGAGGAUUCUAUA